rnacentral:rRNA from 1 species
UACGUAGGGUGCAAGCGUUAAUCGGAAUUACUGGGCGUAAAGCGUGCGUAGACGGUUAUGUAAGUCGGGUGUGAAAGCCCCGGGCUCAACCUGGGAAUUGCAUUCGAGACUGCAUAGCUAGGAGUGCGGAAGAGGGAAGCGGAAUUUCCGGUGUAGCGGUGAAAUGCGUGAGAUAGUACGGAAGGAACAUCAGUGGCGAAAGCGGCUUCCUGGUCCAGCAUCGACGUUCAGGCACGGAAAGCGAUGGGGAGCAAACAGG